AUUGAACGCUGGCGGCAGGCCUAACACAUGCAAGUCGAGCGAGCGGCGGACGGGUGAGUAAUGUAUGGGGACUGCCCGAUAGAAGGGGAUAACUACUGGAAACGGUAGCUAAUACCGCAUACUAUCGGAUAACCCAGAUGGGAUUAGCUAGUAGGUGAGGUAAUGGCUCACCUAGGCGACGAUCCCUAGCUGGUCUGAGAGGAUGAUCAGCCACACUGGGACUGAGACACGGCCCAGACUCCUACGGAGGCAGCAGUGGGGAAGAUUGCACAAUGGGCGCAAGCCUGAUGCAGCCAUGCCGCGUGUAUGAAGAAGGCCCUAGGGUUGUAAAGUACUUUCAGUCGGGAGGCGUUACCGGCAGAAGAAGCACCGGCUAACUCCGUGCCAGCAGCCGCGGUAAUAC
rnacentral:rRNA from 1 species